rnacentral:tRNA from 1 species
UUUAGAUUUUAUUAAAUU